AAUGGAGAUAUUCUCAUUUUUUCUCAUCCGGACCUUGAGAUCUCUUUCUAGAAUCUUCUUUGUUUUUCCUCCAUUUAUGAUAUUACAGAGCUUUACUUGGCUUCUUGUUAUGGUAUCAGAACACAGGAAUCUAAAUCAAAGCUUGUUAUAACUCUCGAAUCUGUUAGUAUUUGAUUGUGAUUCGAUUCUGACAAACUAGGAUUUACUGCUUGCAAACAUCGGCAAUUUGCUUCACUUGAAUUUGUCGUUCAUGGCGCUUGAAGAGAAAAUUUUUGCAAACCUAGUACGGGAACGUCUAGUGCAGGAACGAGCAUAGAUCACCAUCACCCGUUGUAUCUACAGCCAUGCAAUACUCCGGGUAGCUCCUUGAAUUCUAUUAAGCUAACUGGAUUUGAAAAUUACGCAUUGUGGAGUUGGUAAAAGCAAGCUAGGUUUCGUCGAUAGAAGAUGUACUACGGAUAAAUUUGAUUUCUCUUUACAUAAAUUAUGGGAGAAAUAUAAUGCGAUAGUACUUUCGUGGAUUAUGAAUGUUGUUUGCCCAUGAUUGCUUAGUAGAAUUGUGUACAAGUUAAGUGCUCAUAAGAUAUGGAUAGAUCUCAAAGAUAGACAUGACAAAGUGGAUGGAUCUCGCAUCUUCUACUUGCACAAAGAAAUUUCCACUUUAUCUCAGGGAACCUCCUCUGUCUCAAUUUAUUUUUCAAAUAUGGCAGAUCUCUGGGAGGAAUUUGAUUCCUUAAUGCCUUGUUCGGGUUGUGAUUGUCCAGAAUCCAAAAGCUAUGCUGAACAUUGAGUAUCAACGAUUGUUACAAUUUCUAAUGGGACUUAAUGAGUUAUAUACUCAGGCUAGGAGUAAAAUUCCGAUGAUGAGUAAUUAAGGCUUACUUGAUGAUCAUUUCAGAAGAAAGCUAGAGGUCCUUGGGGAAAUUCAUUCAUAUAGUAGAGAAAGUUGACGGAACUUCAUUGUUCACUAAUAAAUGAGGUGUUAAUCCAUGAGGUACCUACAAACCGAGGAGAUAUAAUCAAUAUUGUGACUUUUGUAAUUACAAAGGUCGCACAAGGGAGACUUGUUACAUGUUACAUGGAUACCCUGCAGAUUUCAAGACAAAAAAGAGGACAACUGGAUUUCAUCAAUGACCUGUGGCUAAUGUAGUAGCACAUGAAGGGCAACGAAUGAUCAAUAGGCAUGUGGCUAAUGCAAUAGCACAGGAAGGGCAUUUGUUGAUGAACAAAUGUAUGUGAUUAGAUCUUGAAAUUGAUUAACAAGGAUAAUCAAGGUGAUCAAAUUAAAGACUUUGCAGGGCCUUCACACCGGGAAGGUGAAAGGGAUUAGUAAGAAAUAUGAUGAAUUCUACAGCUUGCAGCUACAUAAAGUCAAGUUAAAAGUUGCAGCUGUGCAGUUAUCUGGAGAAACUUUGAAAGAAGAAGAUUUGGAGGUUUGGCAUGAAAGCCUUGGCCAUGCUCCUGACAAAGUAUUGAAGUUGAUUCCAAAUAUAAAGUUCAAGACAAAUAAUAGUAGAAUAAAGGAAUGCACAAUCUGUCCUCUGGCUAGAUAGGGAAGAUUGCCUUUCCCAAGAAGUACAAAUAGAUCUAGUAAACCUUUUCAAUUGAUUCAUGUAGAUGUAUAGAGUCCCUAUAGAGUUCCAACUCAUGAUGGCUAUAGAUAUUUCCUUACCAUAGUUGAUGAUUAUAGUAAGAUGGUGUAGAUUUACUUGUUGAGAUUGAAAAGUGAUGUCAUUGUGUGUUUGAGACAA